GGAAGACGCAGCGAAAUGCGAUAAGUAAUGUGAAUUGCAGAAUUCAGUGAAUCAUCGAAUCUUUGAACGCACAUUGCGCCCCCUGGUAUUCCGGGGGGCAUGCCUGUUCGAGCGUCAUUUCACCACUCAAGCCUCGCUUGGUAUUGGGCAACGCGGUCCGCCGCGUGCCUCAAAUCGUCCGGCUGGGUCUUCUGUCCCCUAAGCGUUGUGGAAACUAUUCGCUAAAGGGUGUUCGGGAGGCUACGCCGUAAAACAACCCCAUUUCUAAGGUUGACCUCGGAUCAGGUAGGGAUACCCGCUGAACUUAAGCAUAUCAAUAAGCGGAGGA
rnacentral:misc_RNA from 1 species